CGGAUAGAGGCCCGCUGGUUUGGGUAUUUAGCUGUUAACUAAAAUUUUACGGGAUCGAGGCCCGUCUAUCUAG
rnacentral:tRNA from 1 species